UACGUAGGGUGCGAGCGUUGUCCGGAAUUAUUGGGCGUAAAGAGCUUGUAGGCGGUCUGUCGCGUCUGCUGUGAAAAUCCGGGGCUCAACCCCGGACUUGCAGUGGGUACGGGCAGACUAGAGUGUGGUAGGGGAGACUGGAAUUCCUGGUGUAGCGGUGAAAUGCGCAGAUAUCAGGAGGAACACCGAUGGCGAAGGCGGCAUCCUGGACCAACACUGACACUGAGGAGCGAAAGCCAGGGGAGCAAACGGG
rnacentral:rRNA from 1 species